GUCUUUGCUAGGGUAAUCCUCUUUAGUGUGAGAGGAACCACGGGUUCGGAUAUUUGGUAUAUGUGCCUGGCCGAAAGGCCAAUGGUGUGAAGCUACCAUCUGAGGGAUCAGGACUGAACGCCUCCAAGUCUAAAUCCCGUGCAGAUAUGCAACGGU
rnacentral:ncRNA from 1 species